rnacentral:lncRNA from 1 species
UUUCAAGAUUUUGAGGUUUAUAUAAUAAAAUUAACAGUAGUAAAAAAUAAAUUUAGAUAUUAUAAAAUUAAAAAAAUAUAUAUUAUAUAAUUAUCUAUAUAUAUAAUAGUUCUAAUAAAGAAAAUAUAUUAUAUAAUUGUCUAUAUAUAAUAAUAGUAGAUAAAUAAAAAACUAGCUUUAUAGUUUUAUUUUUUAUGACCAAUAAAGUAUAAGAGAUAAAUUAUUGAGAGAAAAUUAUUUAAGAAGAGCAUUUUAGUCCAAAAGAUGUGCAAGUUUUGUGAAAUUCAUUUCAAAUUCCAUUAAAUUUAAUAUGAACUGAUUUUAGUUGUAACCAAUUCAAUGAAAGUAAAUUUUUAUAAUUGAAUUUUAAAUUUUAUUCAAACCAAACACACAAAAUAAGGAAUUAAUUUGUUAGUACCAAGUUCGGUCCAAUUAAUUUGUUAGUAUCAAGUAUGCUGCACAAGAAUAGAUUAUUACUCAUGAUGAAAGUUGAUCUACAAAUGCAGAAAUAAUAAUUAUUAGUCUCAUAUAUUUUUCUAAUUAUAAUAUAAGGUCUUUAAUUUUUUAAUUAGUCUCUUAUUAUUUUAUUCAAAUUAAUAGCCCUAUCUAUUAAUUUCAAAAAUCCAGCGAUAGAUCUCCUAAUAGGCUAGGAUUCCAUUUAAUUUAAAUAAUUUUAUAUUUUUGUAACAAAUUAUUACAAAUUAAAUCAAGUAGAUAAUAUAAUUUAUCAAUUACAUUUUUAUGUGACUCCUAGAUCAAUUAGGUGACAACUCUUUGUCUUUAUCAUAUUUUAUAUGUUAUGUCUAACUCUUACCCUAAAUUUACAUGAUCAUGAGUUUGCCUAUCCAAAUCAAAUAAUUUAGUUAAGUAGAAUAAAUAUUCAGAAACACCUAAUAUUUCAUAACACUAAAUAUAUUCGGGUGAUAUUAACUUUGAAUUUUUCCAAUAAAUUAAUAAAUAUCAAACUCUAAUUUUAUACUAUAACAAUGGAUGGUAAGACAUCAUGUUCUUAAUAUGUACUUAAAAUUUUAAUUCUAAGAUUUCUAUUAAGGUCUCACGCAUAGUCACUAUUGUUGUAUAUCAUAUAUAUUACAUAUAUAAUGUAAUUCUAAUUGGAUGAUUAUGAAAAGUUUUAAAAAAUAAUUCCUUUUGAGCCAUAAAGAGAACUUGAUGGUUUAAAAUACAAGUGAUAACUGCUUUAAUUUUUAAAAGUCAAAAGAGCUCCUUGAAUGCACCACGUUGAAUGGUCUUUGUAAUUUUUAAACGUCUUUUUUUCUUUGUAGGUUUAUAAAAAAUUUCUAUCUACAUAUCCUAAUUAUAUAACAAUUACAUAAUUACAUAUUCUAAUUAUAUAACAAUUACAUAAUUAAAAGAAAAAAUUAAAUUACAUUCUAGUGGAGAUAGAUGAGAAGAAAAUUUUACAAUCCAAAACCUAGAAUAAUAAAGAAAAAUAAAACACACAGACUUUAUUUAAAAAUUACUAAAAAUAAAUCACUCAUUCAUUCAAACAUAUUGAACUUUUCAAAACUUGUUCAUACCCAUCUACCAUGCAAAUAAAUCAUAUUAAAUGUAUAUAAAUUAAUUAUUAAUUUAUUUUAUAUUUAUUAUUAAUUUUAUAUGUUAAAAUUAAAAAUUAAUCAAUUUAAUAUUUUAAUGUUAGUGUUAACCAAAAAUAAUUUGUGAAUAAAACAAUUUUAUUCAGAGUUUUAAUCAUAUUAAAAAAUUAAUUUUAACAAUAAAUUAUAAAAUUAAAUUUAAUGUUAUUAAUUUUUAAAAAUUAAUUUAAUGAAUAAAAUAAUUUGUUCAUGUUUCUAAUCAAAUUAAAAAGUACAUUAAAAUUUUUAAUUACUGUUAAAAUAUUUAAAUGGCCCAAAUUAAUAAAAAAUUAUUUUGAAUUAAAUAGCUGUUUAAUUUAUAGACUGAAAAUAAUUUUUAAAAUUUAUUUUCUGCCCAAAAGGAUUAUUUUGAAACUUUUCAAAAAGUACAGGACUCAAACCAUAAGUUUGCUAGCAACUUCAUCUUCUACCUUGAGAACAUGCCCUAGCCGCCGCCCCUCUCACGCCGCACACUCGAUGAUCGCCAGAUGCUGCCGACCCGAGUUCCGGCAGUUCGCGCAACGAUUGCACUAUCACUGGCGCUACGAACCAUCUCCGGCCAGAUUCAUCGUUGAUGGCUCACGAGAGGUUGCUUCGGUCUUCCUCGAAUCGCCGAUUCACACAGCAACUUCCUCCCCAGCAACGUCGAGGCUACUGGGUUCAUCCUGCGAUCGCUGUGUAUGCUGUCCGUGCAACGUCGGUUGAUAGCCCGUAAACCGGUGGAUCGAGCAACGAUAGCGCCUCCGCCGGCGCUGAGCCAACUCGGACCUCACCUUGUUGAUGACAGCUCGCGACGGAAGCCCAAACCGAGACCAUCUCGAUCUCGACCUCCACGGACGUGGGGAACGACGUGCUCCAUGUCCAUGUCACGGCCGUUGCAGUCAGGCAAGCAUCGCCGGGCAAGCAUGCUGCAGGCAGAUCAAUCGCGCGUCCGCCAGCGACAGGCACUCAUGCUCGCCGCGAGUGGUCCGCAACAGUGUUCUUGUCGAUUUUUUUUUAAUUAUUAUUUUAACAAUUUAAAGAAAAAAAUAACAAGUUAAAAGAAUUUUGAUUCCAGAUUCUAAAAUUUGUAAUAACACUAACUUUUAUUUAGCAAAAUUUAACGCACAAAAUUUAAUCAGAUUAAUAUAAUAAUAAAUAUAAUUUUUUAUUAUACUCUAAUCAUUUAAAUAGAAUCUUAAUACCACCAUUGAAUUUCAAUUAGAUUAAACUAACAUAAAUCAAAUUUAAAAAAAAAUAAUAAUUAAAAAAAUAUACAUUUUAUUUUUUUAUAAUAAAAUACGAGAUCAUUACUUUGAUUAAAUUAUCGCAAAUCAUAAACUGUUUUAUUGUUCGGUUUCUAACGAUAUUCAUACAGAAUAGUAAUCGAAAAACUUUAGAACAGUUUUAAGAGAUUUUGAAAAGGGGAAAGAUUCUGAGUGUUAACUCUCUGCCUUUUUUAUGAAUUCUGGAGGCUCUCUCUCAAAGGGAUUUUUGCUAAACUCUAAAUAAAUUGAAAUUAUAAUUCAGAAUUUUAAUAAAUAAGCCAUAUAAAUUUUAUCUCAUACAAUUCUCUAUGCGUGUGAUUAGGUUCUAAAUAUGUUGACAACAAAUAUAAUUAACUAACUAAUUAAUUUGAAGGUCAAGAACAUUGUUUAACAACAUGUCAAGACUACCCAAAAAUUCAGAAUGUCAAAAGUGAUUUUGACUUAACCUUUCAGUACGUGAUUUGUCAAUGUAGUUAAUAUCCCUUCAUCACAAAUGUAUCGAUUUAACAUUUGAUGCAUGAAGCAUAUCUAUAAUAUUAAAUCACAUUAGUUCUCAUUUAUUAGUUAUUGACUUAUUGAAUGAAAUUUCAAAUCUCAUUUGCUAAUUUCAUUCCACUUUGUAUAAGAAUUUUAUAAUUAAUACUAGCAGAGAACAAAUGAGACAUUUCCUAAUUUAACUUAGGGUGAUAAAUCCUAUCUCAUGCACAUAAAUACUUUUAUAUAAUUUCUAAUAUAUCAAAUUCAUCAUCAUUUGUUACUCAUGAACCAAGCAACAUAUAAGAUGAAUCAAAACAUAAAAGUCCAUAUAUAAGAUUAUUUAUUAAUUUAAAGUUAAAAGAUCACUUAUACAACCAUACUUGAGUAAUCUAUAAACACAUGUUAUUUUCCAUAUAGAUUUUUUAGGUGGAUCAGUUUAGUGCACUUAUUCAUAAAAUAAGUAUUUACAUAUUAGUUCUAAAUAUCUCACAUAUCUCAAUCUAUGAGAUCAGUUAUUUCCUCUAAAAUGAAAGAACAUAAUAUAUAAUAGUUUCAGCAGCUCUAAUCAUUUUCUAAUCAUGAUAAUAAUAUAACAUUUGGAGAUGUUACUUAAAUGUAAUAGGAAUCUCACAAUUAUAAUCACGUUAUAAUUUUCUUUGUAUAGUAAUAUAAUCUAAUAGACUUUAUCUUUACUCGAGAUUUAAUUAAAUUAACAUUAAAAAUAAAUAUCUGCCUUUAUAAAAUUGUAUUUAAAUACUUAAAAUAAACGAACAAUAAUAUCCAACUACAACCAACAGAUUGGUUGUAAGGCAUAUUACUAAUAUAUGGUUCAUCACUCGGCAUAUAUCACUACGAAGAUGAAAGUAGAAGGAAUGACCUUGUAUAGUGCAACCUCAAGGUUUCUUUAACACAAGCUUGAAGAUAUGUUGGCUGUGUGAUAGAGUAUGUGAAAUCCUUAAGAUUAAUCUGAAAUGAAAAGAGAAGAUUAGCUCCAAAUAAGGUAUGUAUUUCAGAAAUUUCAAUGACCGGUUACAAGGAAAUAUGCACUCAUUUCCCCUUUCCAAAAAGAGAAUAUAUGUUCCUAAAGAAGAAUAAGGAAAAUUGUCUGCUCUCCCCCUAUUAUUUUGGCUAUUUAUAAUGUGGAGGUACUCUAAUCACAUGCUCUUUACCACCUGUUAUAACUAAUUCCUAUCCUGCCCUUCCGAUUAGAUUUUCGUCCUUCCAGAAUAUACUUUCCAUGUGUUCUGAGCCUUUCAUUGUGCAGGUUGCAUGUUUGGGUUUCUGCUGAGUGCAUGCUUCUGCUCAUCAAUACCACCCUCAGGAGAAAUAGCCUUGUCCUCAAGGCUGAAAGCAGGAAAUUGUCCACAUAGAUCUACUUCAUCAUGCCAAGUUGCUUCAUAAAAAAAAAUGGCCUUGCCAUUUAACUAGCACUUGAGGAACUAAAACCCCUUGCUGGUUAAUGCUUUUGCGCUGCAAAAUAGGAAUAGGUUCAUCUAUUGCCAAUUCUGGCAGUAACUGAGCAAUGACAGGGUGAUCUCCUACUACUCGCUUUAACCGAAAAACAUGAAAGACUAGAUGAACUUUGGCAUCUGCUGGAAAAUGAAGUUUAUAAGCUACUCGGCCAAUGCGAGCCACAACCAGGAAGGGUCCAUAGAAGCAAGGAGCCAACUUUGGAUAGACUCAGGAUUGAACAACAAGCUAUCUAUAUGGAUGAAUUUUGAGAAAAACCUUAUCUCCUACCUCAAAAUCCACAUGACGUCUUCUUUUGUUAGCAUAGUAGGACUUGGAGUUCUGAGCCUUCUAUAUAUAAAAUUUCAACUGCCUUAAUAUUUCAUUGCCAUCUGACAAGGCAUGUGAUACUUCUUCUACUCUGGUUUCACCCAAUAAAUUGAAAGAUAGUGGGAGGGGAUUUGCCAUAGAGUGCUUGAAAUAGAGAUUGAAAAAUGGCAUUCUAAAACCUGGUAUUGUACCAGUAUUCUGCCCAAUGCAACCAUCUAGCUGUUAGUGUAUAUGUCCUAGGUCAUUAUCUUGGACCUUUUUGUAUGUCAUUUUGGGUAUUAAUAAAAGAAGUUUUAUUAUCAUUAUUAUUUGUUUGCAUAUUACAUAAUAAUGAUUAACAUCCUUGGUUAUUUACUAUUAUGGUGAUAAUAAUAAAACAUGACUAGUAUGAUUAUUGAUUGAUAAUCAUGAGAUGAUUAUGUAUAUAUUGAUAUAAUUCAAUAAUCAUAGAUACUUGUUAGAGAACAAAGCAUUGGAUGGACUUGCAUUGAGAUCACUACAUGAGUUAUUGUCAUAAGUGAAUCUCAAAGUAAUUAUGUCUUAAUCCUUUGACUUGAGAUUAUCAUAGUUUCUAAUAUAAGGACUGUUAUGUUUUCAUAUAACCAAACAUUGUCUUUAAUCGGAUAAACAUAAAGGUUAUGAUUGAACAUAAUAAAAAUUAUAUAAAAGAUAUUGAACAAUCCAGAUAGAAUUUGUCCCUCUCUUUGAUAGAGAUAUUUUCUGAGUCUCUCGAUAAGUGAGAUUGAGAAAUACAUGAUUGUGCUCAAAUGAAUUGAUAGUGUAAUCAAUAUCAUUUGGUUUUAUCAGUCUACUUAGAUUGAAAAAUCAUAAGUCUGAACAUUAUAAGUUUGACAUUAACAAUAACUUAUGUUCAAACUAGAUAUCGCGUGACAAAGGGAUUAAUAUAUGUUCUAUUUAUUAGGCUUUAUCGGACUAUCGAUUCUCAUAUUAAUUGGGUAGUCAUAAUGUCUUGCUAAAGGCUGCUUAUGAUUUAUGGGUCUUGUGAGACUAGACCUAUUGUCAAUUAAUGUGAACCUAUUGGAUUACACACAAAAAAACAUCGUCGAUGUGUUAUGUCAUAUUAAUAGGCUAAAAGCCCAUUAGUAUAAUUAAUAAUAAUAAAGAUGUUAUUAUUAUUAAUAUUAAUUAUUUAUUAUUAUAAGAUACUAAUAUUUAAAAGUUCUGCAGUCUAUUUGUAACUGUUACAGAUAAAUGAUUUUUCCAUUUUCCUUUUUGAAAAGGGACUUAUCACAUAGAUAUUUGAGUAUUUGCGAGAUUGUGAUAGUUGGUGAUGAACACAAGUCUUUUACAAAAAGAAGUGUGGAAAAAACAAAGGACUGAAAAACGAAUAAAACUUCUUUUGCGAAUUGUGGGAGUAAGGUUUUUGGAGUGAUCGUUUUUCUAGGCAGCAGAUUGGGGAGCACGUAACUUAUCCUUUCGUUGAGAGAGUUAGCACUCUAGAUGGAAAGUGUUCGUGUGGAUACCAUUGAGGGUGUUCGUUUCAGAAGCAGCACCAUCAGUCCAGAACUGUAUCUUCUCGUCGAGUCUAACAGGUUAGUCUCUUAUCAUUCCUUUCGAAAUAAAGGAAGCAUUCGAGAGAUUUUUUUUUAUUGAGUGUUUUUUGUUGUAGUAAUCUCUAAGUUUCUUAACACUAGGCUAAGCUUUAGGUUGCUCAGAAGUGAAACAAUGAAGGUACUCUUCAAGGCUGCAAUUGAGGACCUCUGUGUUUGGCCAUCCAUUUGAGGAUAGUAGCCUUAACUCAUUCGUAAGAUGGUACCCAUGAGUCGAAAGACUUCUUUCUAGAAAUUGCUUAUAAAAAUAUGACCCCUAUCAUUGACCAUGGAUUGAGGCACUCUGGAGACGAAUGAUUUCUCGAGAAAAAACUUUAGCUACUGUCUUGGCAGUAUAGGGGUGGCGCAAAGGAAGAAAAUGCGCAUAUUUCGUCAAUCUGUCAAUCACCACUAAAAUACAGUCUAUCCCUCGAAACUUUGGUAAUCCACAGAUUAAAUCCAAUGAGAUGUCUUCCCAAACUCCCUGUGGAAUUGGAAGAGAUUAAAGCAACCCUACAGGAUAUAAUGCCUCCUUUAUUCUUUAUGCAGAUAAGGCAUGAAGAAAUAAAGUCCUAGACUGAUUUCAUCAUUCGCUCCCAAUAUAAGCUUGCUGCCAAAUGAUAAUAAGUACGAAAGGCUCCGGAAUAGCCACCAGUUGGUGUUGAAUGAAACUCCUAUAAGAGCUAAGGCAUCCACUGGGAUUUUGCUGGAAUUACUUACCUCCCUUUAUAAUAUAAAUGUUGCUACGCUAGAGUAAAAGGAGGAGAACUAGUGGAGUCGCGUUCUAAUGCCUCCAAGAUGGGCUGUAAGUCAGGAUCAGCUCUGAUGGCAGCAUCUAUAGCAUCAAAAUCAAUCCAUCUCGAGCGUGUAAUGGUAGAGAAAUUCAUUAUAUCUUCUUCUCUAUGGGAUAAGGAAUCCGUUGCACGGUUGGAGUUGUCAGGUUUGUAUUCGACCACAAAUUGAUACCCUAAUAAGGAAUCCGUUGCACGGUUGGAGUUGUCAGGUUUGUAUUCGACCACAAAUUGAUACCCUAAUAAUUUAGAGACGCAAUGUUGUUGUGCAGUAGUAUUGAUUGGCUAUUCCAAGAGGUGGUGUAGGCUAUACUGAUCUAUUCUCACCAAAAAUUUCUUCCCUAAUAAAUAAGGUUGCCAGUGUUGGAUCGCCUAGGCAAGAGCCAUCAACUCCCAAUCAUAAGCUGAUUAGAAGGCAGUUCUAUUGGAUAAGGCUUUACUGAAAUAAGCCACAGGUCGACCAGUUUGCAAAAGUACCGCUCCAAAGCCAUAGCCGGAUCCAUCACACUCCAUCGGAAAUUGCUUGGAGAAAUCAGGCAUAACUAAAACUGCAGUUGUACUGAGAGCAAAUUUGAGAGCAUCACAGGCAGAUUCAGCAGUAGGGGUCCAACAAAAGUGAUGUUAAGCUUCCUUUUUGGUUAAUUAUGUCAAUGGAAGAGCUGUUUAAACCACGAUAGUAGCCGGCCAAACCCAAAAAUUCCCGUACAGCUCGUACUGUCUUUGGAAUAGGCCAUUGUAAAACAGAUGAGACUUUGAUGGGAUCCGUAGCAACUCGAUUGUUGAUAAUGACAUGCCCCAAGUAUUCUAAUGCCUAUUUGGCCAAAGAAUAUUUUUUCUUAUUGCUCGAAACUGUUGAUCUUGUAAAGUCUGUAGAACAACUACCAAAUGGUUGAGAUGCAAUUUCUAGGUUUUGCUAUAGACGAGAAUAUUGUCAAAGAAAACUAAGACAAAACGUACUAAUUAAGCUAUGAACACAUCAUUCAUCAUCGAUUGAAAAGUAGCUGGGCAUUGGUGAGCCCGAAUGGCAUGACCAGAAAUUCAAAGUGUUUGGAGUGAGUUUGAAAUGUCGUUUUCAGAAUAUCAGCUUCCCUGAGCCAAAUCUGGUGAUAGCCAGAAUACAAGUCAACUUUUGAAAAAUACUUAGCCCCAUACAGUUCAUCAAGCAACUCUUGGAUCACAGGGAUAGGAUAGUGAUCCGAAAUGGUGGCUUUCUUGAGCUGACGGUAAUCGAUGCAAAAUGGCCAACUACCAUCCCUCUUGCGACUAAGAGCACUAGGCUAAAGAAGGGGCUGGAACUAGAGCACUAGGCUAAAGAAGGGGCUGGAACUAGGUCUGAUAAUACCAUCUGCUAACAUAUUAGAAACCAACUUUUCAAUUUCUUCCUUUUGAUGAUAAACAUAACAAUAUGGCCGCACAAAGAUGGCUGAAACUCCUAGUUGUACGGGAAUGGCAUGAUCUGAGCUUCUAUUGGGAGGAAGACCAAUCGAGUCUGAGAAAAUGGGAGUAAACUGGUCUAAUAACCUUGACAAUUGAUGCGCCUGAGGAGCAAGCAAAGGAAUUGCAUCACAGGAAGGAGCAGUUUCAAUUGCAGAGCAAUCCCAUAAGAAAUAGCCCAUGUCAAUAUUGGUCAUCUUCGACAAUGAAUUGAGGGAAACCAUCGAAUUGACUAAAGAAGGAUUCCCAAUAAGAGUGACUGGUGCACCCUGAUGUAAAAAUUUAAUAGAUAAUUUCUACCAAUUCACCUCCACAUCACCUAAAGUUUAUAGCCAAGAAAUGUCCAAAAUAACAUCCACGCCUCCCAGAGGAAAUACAUAGCAAUCAGGGGCUAUCUGUAGAGUGUUCAAUGUAAGUGGUAAUGCAUUACAGAUGCCGGAGGAAUGUAAGCAAUGGACAUUGCCUAAACAAAUAGUGAAAAGAGGAGUAGGCUGAACAGGCAGUUUGAGUUUGGCGACUAGAGUGUCCGAGAUAAAACAAUGGUUUGCACCACUAUCAAUCAUGAUUAUGAUAGAAUUAUCUCCGAGAGAACCUUGCAGUUUCAUAGUACUAGGGUGAGUGAUUCCACCUACAAAAAUAAUGGAAGAUCCAACGAUGAAAUUUGAGAAUCGAUGACUUCUUCAGAAAUGGAGACGGAGUGUAACCCCUCAAUAACCUCCAAUGCUAUCUCCAUGUUCCCAUCUUCAUCAUCGGCAACAAUGACCAUUCUAAGGGAUUUGUGAGGACAUUGAUGGAGAGAAGCAAUGAAAACACAAACCACGAGAAUGAAGAUCAUUGUAUUCCUCUUGGACAGUUGACGAAAUGGGCGAGUUUUUGGGUUUUCUGAAGAAGAACUGGUUUUGGUAGAUGAGCCGGUAACAGAAAAAUUGGGUCUAGUUGUUAAGGUGGGCUGUUUAUCUGGAUGUUUGGACUAGUUCGGAGAUGGGCUUGGAAAUUGAAAUGUGGUGGGCGUAGGCUUGGUGUAAGUGGAACGGUGGCCAAACCCAAAGGAUUUUUCAGUUUUCUCUGAAGAAACGGGAAGUUGGUAUGUGAGGAUAGGUGAUAAGGAGUUUCCAUUCAACUUUUCUCGCGAGUAACAUAGUGCAAGAAAUAUCAGUAGUUUCAUGGCUACGGAGUCUCACCCUUAUGUCUUCUCGCAAUCCAUUCAAGAAAAAACCCAAAGAAUGUGAAUCAGAGAGUUUAGGUACCUGAGCUGCCCGAAUCACAAAGUCGUUGAUGUAGGCAUCAACAGAACUGGUUUGUUUAAUGGCCACUACUCAAAGGGGCUCAUCAUUACAUCACAACUAUAAUGGUGUAGGAGUUCCGUCGAAAACUAAUUCCACAUUAAAGUGGGCUGGCGAUGCCGAAGCCAAUGUAGCCAAUGGACUCUCUCCUCUAUGCAAACCAUAGCCAUGAGAACCUUAAGCCCUUCAUCGAUACCAUUUAAUUCAAAGUAUUGCUCGACUGUGGCGAGCCAACCAGUAGGGUCAGUGCCAUUGAAGCUGGUUCUUUCAAGAUUUUAGAGAAUGGGGUAGUAUCGAUGGGAAAAUGGAUUGAUAGGGAAGGGGUUGAAGGUUGAGUGACAGUGUUGGAGUUAGGAGAUAACUGAGUGGAGACUUCUCCUUCCUCCAUAAUUUGUUUGCCACGGUUUAGCGUUUGGAGAAGGUUUUCAAUGGAGGCUAAUUUAGAAUGGAUUGAUUCAUUAUCAGACUUCAAUUUGGAAAACCCAUCAUCCACCAAGGUGAGAUUCCUCUCUAUCGAUUCAAUUCGAGAGUGCAUCUUGGUGUUUAGCAUUCCGGCGGUAGGUCAGACCAAUAAUGAUAGAAUAAGGGAUCCUCAAGGUUAAUAAAAAAUGAAAAGAGAAGAUGAGCUCUAAACAAGGUAUGUAUUUCAGAAAUUUCAAUGACUAGUUACAAGGAAAUAUGCUCUCAUUUCUCCCUUCCAAAUAGAGAAUAUUUGUUCCUAAACACGAAUAAGGAAAAUUGUUUGCUCUCCCCGUUAUUCGAGUAAAUUACA